AGUCAAUAGAUACCCCGGUAGUCCACGCCCUAAACGAUGUCAACUAGGUGUUGGGUGGGUAAAACCAUUUAGUACCGGAGCUAAACGCGUGAAAGUUGACCGCCUGGGGAGUACGGCCGCAAGGUUAAAACUCAAAGGAAUUGACGGGGACCCGCACAAGCGGUGGAUGAUGUGGAUUAAUUCGAUGCAACGCGAAAACCUUACCUACCCUUGACAUGCCAGGAACUUGCCAGAGAUGGCUUGGUGCCCGAAAGGGAGCCUGGACACAGGUGCUGCAUGGCUGUCGUCAGCUCGUGUCGUGAGAUGUUGGGUUAAGUCCCGCAACGAGCGCAACCCUUGUCGUUAAUUGCCAUCAUUUGGUUGGGCACUUUAACGAGACUGCCGGUGACAAACCGGAGGAAGGUGGGGAUGACGUCAAGUCCUCAUGGCCCUUAUGGGUAGGGCUUCACACGUCGUACAAUGGUCGGUACAGAGGGUUGCCAAGCCGCGAGGCGGAGCCAAUCCCAGAAAGCCGAUCGUAGUCCGGAUCGUAGGCUGCAACUCGCCUGCGUGAA
rnacentral:rRNA from 1 species